UCAGGCCUAACACAUGCAAGUCGAACGGGAUCUUCGGAUCUAGUGGCGGACGGGUGAGUAACGUGUGGGAACGUGCCCUUUGCUUCGGAAUAGCCCCGGGAAACUGGGAGUAAUACCGGAUGAGCCCUACGGGGGAAAGAUUUAUCGGCGAAGGAUCGGCCCGCGUUGGAUUAGGUAGUUGGUGGGGUAAUGGCCUACCAAGCCGACGAUCCAUAGCUGGUUUGAGAGGAUGAUCAGCCACACUGGGACUGAGACACGGCCCAGACUCCUACGGGGGGCAGCAGUGGGGAA
rnacentral:rRNA from 1 species